AGGUCUGAAAACUUACUGCAGCCUGCCAUGGUAUUACUGUGCAUCAGUGAGACACUUACAGAAGGACAAUGAACCCAGAUGUCUCAGCAUUCAAAAUCCGACCUGCACUCUCCUCUUUAUAGUGGUUUCCAGAUACAUAUUUGGGUAUGUUAGAGAGGAAGAAGGAGACAGAUACUGCCAGAGUACUUGUGUGUUUUCCUGGUGAUGACUUCAUCCCAUCCUUCUUCAGACAGAGGAGAAAGGUCAGCAUCUUUGUCUUGAUAACUCUUCUUACUUGGAAAGAGUCAAGGCAGACUGAACAAUGUCUACUCCCCCUCUACCAAAACAGUAGCUUUUACUGAGUCUAAAUAAACUGGCAUGAAGAAGGCCAAUGCAGAUUAUUGUAGUCUCUGUUAUCACACAGUUUAUUAAAGGACCACUGCACUGCAAUUAUGGAAUGAGUAAAUCUGUGGGCAGCCAUCUGGGAUGCUUGAGAUGAGUCUCCAGUGCUCUUGCUAUGCCCAGGCCUGAGGCAAAUGUUAAUGACAGCCAACAGGAGCAGCUACUUCUGUGGAAUAAUGAUUUCCUUUAAAAGGUCUUUAUUUCAAGGUCUUGCAUGAUGUUUGUCUUUCCUCUGUGGCACUGGUGGUAGAUGUCAGCAUUUAGGAAUAUCAGAAGUGGUCUCUAGUGACCCUUCUAGUUUUCAUUUAAACUUUAAGUUAUUGUUGAACAAAUUAAAAUGAUACCCCUCAGGUGAAGGAAAGACUGACCAUCACUUUCUGUCCAUCUGCAGCAGGGUGCAUUCAGAAGGACAUAUCUGGGCUUUAAAUAUGUUUAUUGAACUUGAUUAUUUUUUAUCUUUUAAAAUCUUUACUUUUAAAAAUGUUAUUUAAUUGAAAAUUCUUCACCACAGCUGCAAUGUAUUUUGGUGUUUGUUGAACAAUGAACAAUACUCUUGUUCAACAGGCACCAUUAGGUAGAAAAGUACCUAAGUUGCAGGUUGGGGUUCAGAUACUUUGUCAAAGAAGCAUGAUGAAAAACAGUAACUACCAACAAUACACUCAGGCCUCAUUGAUGCAGUUUGGACCUAGUCCAAAUGCACUGAAAUUGUCAAUUUGCUUUGAAUGAUGCCUGUAGGAAGCUGGCACUUAAAUAUUUUCUGCCCUUAUACAUGCCACCUCCCAUCCCAGUGUAAUAGUCCCCAGACUGUACCAUGUGCUAUGGACUUGGCUGCCACAUCCUUCCUUUUGUUUUAAUGGUUCUCUGUACCCUCCUUUGGGCUGGUUGUGUGUCCAGCAACACAACAGAGCAAAGCAGAAGAGGGACUUAGUGAUGCAUAGUUUCAAUAAAAGUGUUUGUUCAUC